CGUCGCCGCGGGAAAACGAAGGGGGCUAGCGUUGCUCGGAAUGACUGGGCGUAAAGGGCGCGUAGGCGGCACGUACAGUCAGACGUGAAAUUCCUGGGCUUAACCUGGGGGCUGCGUUUGAUACAUGCAGGCUAGAGUGGGGAAGAGGGUUGUGGAAUUCCCAGUGUAGAGGUGAAAUUCGUAGAUAUUGGGAAGAACACCGGUGGCGAAGGCGGCAACCUGGUCCUUGACUGACGCUGAGGCGCGAAAGCGUGGGGAGCAAACAGGAUUAGAUACCCCAGUAGUCCCUGUCUCUUAUACC
rnacentral:rRNA from 1 species